AUUGAACGCUGGCGGCAGGCCUAACACAUGCAAGUCGAGCGAGCGGCGGACGGGUGAGUAAUGUCUGGGAAACUGCCCGAUGGAGGGGGGUAACUACUGGAAACGGUAGCUAAUACCGCAUACCAUUGGAUGAGCCCAGAUGGGAUUAGCUAGUAGGUGAGGUAACGGCGCACCUAGGCGACGUUCCCUAGCUGGUCUGAGAGGAUGAUCAGCCACUCUGGAACGGCGACACGGUCCAGACUCCUACGGAAGGAAGUGGUGGGGAAGAGUGCACGAUGGGCGCAAGCCUGAUGCAGCCUUGCCGUGUGUAGGAAGAAGGCCGUCGGGUUGUAAAGUACAUUCAGCGUGGAGGCGUUACCCGCAGAAGAAGCACCGGCUUACUCCGUGCCAGCCGGGGCGGUAAUAC
rnacentral:rRNA from 1 species